AUUGAACGCUAGCGGGAUGCCUUACACAUGCAAGUCGAACGGAGUGGCGAACGGGUGAGUAAUGUAUCGGAACGUGCCCAGUAGCGGGGAUAACUACGCGAAAGCGUAGCUAAUACCGCAUACACUUCGCACGGCCGGUAUCGGCUUAGCUCGUGGGUGGGGUAACGGCUCACCACGGCGACGAUCCGUUGCGGGUUUGAGGGGUCGACCAGCCACACUGGGACUGAGACACGGCCCAGACGCCUACGGGAGGCAGCAGUGGGGAAUUUUGGACAAUGGGGGAAACCCUGAUCCAGCCAUCCCGCGUGUGCGAUGAAGGCCUUCGGGUUGUAAAGUACUUUUGGCAGGAAAGCGGUACCUGCAGAAUAAGCACCGGCUAACUACGUGCCAGCAGCCGCGGUAAUUC
rnacentral:rRNA from 1 species